rnacentral:lncRNA from 1 species
UGCUCCAGCUGAGUUGAUAGUUCUGCUCCAGAUCAGUUGAUAGUUCUGCUCCAGAUCAGUUGAUAGUUCUGCUCCAGAUCAGUUGAUAGUUCUGCUCCAGAUCAGCUGAUAGUUCUACUCCAGAUCAGCUGAUAGUUCUACUCCAGAUCAGCUGAUAGUUCUGCUCCAGCUGAUAGUUCUACUCCAGAUCAGCUGAUAGUUCUACUCCAGAUCAGCUGAUAGUUCUGCUCCAGCUGAUAGGUCUACUCCAGAUCAGCUGAUAGUUCUACUCCAGAUCAGCUGAUAGUUCUGCUCCAGAUCAGCUGAUAGUUCUGCUCAAGAUCAGCUGAUAUUUCUGCUCCAGAUCAGCUGAUAGUUCUGCUCCAGAUCAGUUGAUAGUUCUGCUCCAGAUCAGUUGAUAGUUCU